UUAUGCCCACUGGCCACCAACUUUUUCUUCCCCACGCCCUUACCUGUUCCCACCUUCUUCUUUCCUAGAAAACAAAUGGUUCCCUUGGUCUAGAUCUCCAUCGCCAAAGCUGCCAUGGUAGAUGAAUCAAAGUGAACUAACAGCAGAUCUGGAACAAUUUGCCAUGAAAAAAAGGGGAAAGAGUGAGGACAGAUCAGAAUGUACCGGGUAGCACCAACAAGGGUGAAAGAAGAGGUCAUCAUUUUCUCCUCCUGUUCAGACCCCCUCCUUGACUUCCCCCUCACCAAAUUUCUCUUUACAAAAAUAGCUUCUCCAUUGUUGAAGAGAGCAUAAACAGAGAUAAAAAAGGGAGAUCUUGUACCUGUGCAAUUUUAACUGAUUUUUUUGCACCUACAUCAUGGGACAAGCCAACAUUUGAAGCAUUGUGUGCAACAAAAUGCAAAAACCGUGCAAUUAUAUAGGAGAGAGCACAUAGAUAGUCUUAUAUCACACAUAAUGCAGAAGAACUGAUGUCCAUGUAGAAAAAAGGAAAAAAAUAAAGAGAAAAGUAUGUUGUAGGUACUGUGAAGCAUAACUACCAACUAGACAAAAAUCUAUUCUGCAGGUGUUUUCUUCCUUUGAUCUUUGCACACAAUAGUAUAUGUGACUUUGCAGCUGAGAAUUAUGGGCAAAAAUUUACAGCAGCUCCCCCACCCCCAUAACCUGCACAUGAUGCAAAAAAGAAGCCAAAACUAGAAAAUUAGAUGCAUGUAAACACAUGAGGAUGCCAACUAAUGAAUGAUUCUUGUGCAACUAAAGGAGUUGAAUGCCAACUCAUGUGACAUUGUUGUGCAAUUAUUAAAAAAAAGUUGGGAAUUCUCCUUAAUCGUUCUUGUGCAACUAAAAUAGUUGAGGAUGCCAACUCAUGUGACAUUGUCGUGGGACUAUAAAAAAAGUUGGGAAUGCCAACUCCUGAUUGGUUCUUGUGCAACUAAAAUAGUUGAGGAUGCCAACUCAUGUAAUAUUGUUGUGGGACUAUUUGAAAACUCGAGGCUGCCGACUCCCAAAUGGUUCUAGUGCAACUAUGAAAGUUGAGGAUGCCAACUCGUAUGAUACUGUUGUGCAACUAUUUAAAAAGUUGAGGAUACCCAGUCCUAAUUGAUUGUUGUGCAACUAAAAGUUCAGGAUGCAUCUAUAGAAGUUGAGGAUACCUCUCCUUGUAGGAGCUGCAUCUCCUUCAGUCCUUCUACAACCAUUUUUGGUCUGUGAAAAAAGUAAACAAAAAAAUUAGUCAAAGCAACCCAAUGCAUACAAGAAAAAUGAGGAAAAACAAUUUAUAUAAAAAAUGCCAUGAGGUAAGCAACUCAAGAUAACUUUUCAAAGCACACCUAUAAAACAAAAAAAGAAUGUGUGCAACUUGAUGCACUGUAUGGCCAACUGGGCACACAUGAGUGUGCAAUAAAAAAAUCAGCAUACACACUGCCUAACAUGAUUUAGGCACUGGAGCCAAAACUAAACUAGCCGUCAACCGUGCAACUAGAUAUCCCUUACCUGUGCAACUGCGUAAGUGUGGCUAAGCCAACUAGGAUAUGUACUGUUCUGAUUUGCAAACUCCUGUACAAACGCAUACCCUUGACAACAGGGCACACAUGAGUGUGCAAUCAAAAACACCACACACACACACACACACACACACACACACACACACACACACUGCAUGAACAUGAUUUACAUAGUGUAUCCAUAUGAAUACCAUCGAUUGUGCAACUGGUUAGGCCUCAUUGUGCAACUUCAAUAGUUGGCUAGCCAACUGAGAUUGUAUAUGUGUCAUCCAACUACGUUUGCGUUCCUGUGCAACUAUUACAACAAACUAGCCAAUUGGUUACUUAUAUGCAUCCAACUUACGAGAAAACAGAGAAACCACACGGAUGCACUUACGAGAAAAAGAGAGGUACAUAAUGCAAUGAAGCUCUACAAAGAGUAUCAUGUUUAACGAGACAAUUGCAGUGUAGGCAAGAAUAGAUGGAUCAAAAUAGGAUCCUGGUCCAUACCAAUAGUGACAAAAUUAGAACAGCUCACCGUGAAAAUCCUACUCAAACCCACCAUUAAAAUCCUAAUCGCCGUAAAAACCCACCAUAAUCCUAAUCACCGUAGCUCCUAUUGAGCAAGAUGCCGAAACGUAGUUGUGCAAUUGCCACCACCUUUAACUACCCAUUACCAUGUGAGAUAUACAACUAAAAACUUGCAUAUACAAUGCAUUACCAAAGUUGCAUCAUUUAGUAGUAGAGUUGCACCAUAUAGCACCAAAAUUGGCCGACUACCUUCCUGUGAAACUUGUGAAGUCUCUCUGUGCAACUAUAUAUAAUUAAGUGUGCAAACUAUUCUACCUCUGGUGAAACUUGUAAUACCUCUCUGUGCAACUAACCAUGCCAAAUUUAGCAUUGCAUAUCACUCAAUACAAAAAAGAGGCAUCGAACUGGAUCGAUCUCUACCUCCUAUAAGAGCUACCAUAACGACAAAUGCAGUCUAAGCGAGAAAUAGAUGGAUCAACUUGCAUCAACUACAGAUCCGUGAGUUUGAAAAGUUGGAUCGUAAAUCAUACAAACAAUGACAAAAAAAAUCUUUAGAACUUCAAUUGUUUUUAUAGCCUUACAUCACUACCAAAACAACCUUGGAUCUGUUCAUCUAAGAACAUUUUCAGUUCAUUACUUUCUUAUUUGUUAUGAUGUAACCCAAUGAAUGUUCAAAUCAAUGUUGGAGUAAGAGAAACACUACCAAAUCAAUCAGCCAGCUGGAUUGAUUACUCCAUGUAUCACCACUGUGCUAAUUAAGCAUCCAAGUGAAAACAACUCCAAGGUCCAAGCAACAGGCAACACAUGCAUAUCCUUCUAUCACGAGAGCCCAAUCUAAAUUGCAAGUAGCCAAGUACUACUGUACUAGUAAGUAGAAGCAGACCUCGUAUGAUGGCGUUGACCCGAGAUUGGAUCCGGUAGGGGAGGGAGCAGCGUGACGAUUGGG
rnacentral:lncRNA from 1 species